rnacentral:lncRNA from 1 species
CAAAAAAGGUGGUGGUUUGAUAGGCGUUAACCCUGUGGGUACGGUGAGUGCGGCGUACACCGGCCUGUUAUCCCUCCACCGUCAAGAGCGGGAGGUGGUCGCUGCUCUGUGAAGCCAGCCUGACGCGGUGUCCUCCGCUUUAGGAUCCUAAGAAGCUCGAGCCUUCGCCCGGGCCGCACGGCUCAGCUGCCUGACUUGGAACGGACAAGCCGAGUAUAGUACGGUCGCACCCAACCCAGUCGAGUUAAACACACCAUCCCACCGCCUCAAGGCUCCCGCUCGGGUUACAAGCCCACGCUACCGGGCUCGGCGAUCGAGGCGCUUUCGCAGCAGAAUAUAACGUCUUUGAUUCUUUUAGAAUUGGCGAUGUGGGACUAAGAAUUGUGCCAACCCGCCACCGAUUCAUCCACCAGCAAAAUGCUUUGGAGGAUAACACAAACUGCAAGUGCCCCAAGAGAAUUGGAUUGCGCACGAACAGCUUCUUUCUACUCCAACGCCCCGAAUGAUGCAUUCAUGGCCAAACUGUGUUGUUCAUGGAUGCAGAUCGAAAAGCGCUAAGUAAUCCCCAAAGGUAAGAAUACGUUUGAUUGUCUUACGAUACAACCUUACCCUAUUAGAAAUUUAAUCUCAUAAUCUAAUAAUACUAAAAGAACAAAAAAGAGAAUCCAAUUACAGAGAAAAGGAAUGAUAAAAAAGUGGGGUCUGAUCGAUGUUAGCUUGCCGAGCAUGGUAAGGUGUGGCUUCGACCAGUCUGCCAUCCCUUCCACUGUCGAGAGCGGGAGGUACUCGUUUCUUUGUUAGGAUGCGUAUGACUCGAGUCUUCGCCUGGAGUCACAUUGCUCAAUUUCUUGACUCAAAAUGGGCAAGUCGGGGUUGGGUGGGUCAAACCUAACCCAAUCAAGCACAACACAUCAUUCCACCUCCUUCAUGCCCUCACUCAUGUGACAAGCCUGUGCUACGAGGCUCGACAAUUACAAGUAUUUCACAGAGUAAUAUAAAGGCAUAAAAAUAGGUAAAAACUAGCAAUGUGGGACGAAGAAUAGUGCGACCACUUUCCCCUCCUCCCUUUGCAGAGAGAUUCACGAACCAAAUGCUUUCGAGAGGGAACAUAGGCUUGGAUGGUGUAUUUGUCCACCUGUUUUUAUUUUGGAGAAAGAAUUCAACUGCAUUGUAAACGUAAAACUCCUUCCUACUCCCCUCCUCAAUGAUAUAUAAAUAUUUAGAAAAAAACUUUAGUUUUCAAAAAUUCUCCAUCUCAACUUUUAAAAAUAUAAACAAAGUACCUAUUUCGUGCAUUAAAACAUCGUUUUAUCUCUACUUUUGUCGGAUCCAUUAUUACCUCAACCCUAUAUCAAUGCUCUAACUCUUUUCCCCUUUGCUAAGAACAACAAUAGAGUAGGGGGUCACGAAUCCUUGGUACUUUGUGUCUUCACACACGAGUUGACUUACGCACUUAGCCAUGCUUUUAUCUUGAACAGUCAUCCAUUACCCACAGCAUUGUUGAUCGCCUUCAUGAGUGGGCCCAGCCAAACUCUUUCCCCGCCUAUGAUCGAUGACGAGGGGUGCUUAUGGGCGAUUGCGAGGGUACACAGUAUGCCUCCCCUCCUUCCUCACCCACGAACAAUGAUGAGUGAAGGCAUAGGGGUCGUGGCCCUUGGUUCUUCAUUUGCAAUCGAUAACGAUAGAGUUCAAAUAUAUAUUGUAUAGCUUAAUAUUUUCAAAGUUACGAUCGCCUAAUAUUUUUUAAGAAUAUACAUAUUUAGAAUUUUUUUAAAUCUAAGAUCUAUAUAAUAUUUAUUUAUUUUUAAUUAGUUUAGUCCUUCUAUUCAAAGAUACGAACUUGAAUAAUCGAUGAUAAAAUAAGACAUAAUAUCAUGAAAAAUAAAAAAAUAUUUUUUUAGAAAAAUUAGAAAACCAUAUUAAUUAGUAAAAGCUGAAAAAAAAUAUUAGCAUCACCAUGGGCUAAGGAGUUACAAAUCCUAUGAAAAAUCAAUUUAAACUAAGCUAUGUUGAAAUUGCAUAGUUGAUCCUUUCUAAUCCCACGUCAUUGGGUUUUAGAGGAUAAUGUGAUGGGACAUACCAUGGUACUUCAGCAAAGCGGAGCUUUCUUUCUAUCAUUUAAUAGUCCUAUGCGUUGUAUCUUACUAUUAUUUUUAAUGCGAAAAAGUGGUGGUUUGGUCAGUGUAAGCCCGAUGGGUAUGGUGGGGGCGGCGUGCAUCGGCCUGUUAUGCUUCCACCGUCAAGAGAGGGAGGUUAUCGCUGCUCUGUGAAGCCAGCCUGACGCGGUGUCCUCCGCUUUAGAAUCGCAUGUGACUCAGGCCUACGCCAGGACCGCACUGCGAAGCUGCCUGACUUGGAACGGGCAAGCCAAGUCUGGAAAUCACCGGACCCAACCCAAUAGAGCUGAACACAACAUCCCACCACAUCCUUGCCCCCACUCGGGUUACAAGCCUGCGUUACUGGGCUCGGCGAUCGAGGGCCUUCCGCAGCCUCAUAUAACUUUUUGCGAGACUCUAAAUAUUGGCGAUGUGGGACUAAGAGCACUUCCUCCGCUCCCUCCUUUCCCUUUCCGAAAAUUCAUGCACCGCGUGCUUUCUGAGAGAACCCGAAUUGCACCCAAACUUUCGAUCAUGGUUCUUACCACCUUUUCAUCACCUAAAACUAUUUCAUCGGCAAAGAGGCCAUUUGAAUAAGGUCACUAUUCAAAAGCUUAAGAAUAAGGUUACUAUUUAAAUGCUCGAGUUUUUAGAAAAUAAUAAAGUAGAAGAUAUCAAUAGAAUUGUGUUAAUCAUCACCUCUUUACUCUAACGUUUAUCAUCUUUAUAAAAAUUAUCAAAAGAUAAAAGGUGCUUCAUCUCCUUCUCUUUGAAGUUUAUUUUUAGGUUGCCCUUCGUCCUUGUACAUUUUUCAAUGAUAAAUCAUAUAUAAGAUUUAUGACCCAAUGAGCUAUCUCCUUUCAAGAUGAGUCUAUCAAUAUUAAUAUCAAUUUGUCUCUCUGUGACUCCUGAGGUCGAGGUAAGUGUUCUUGGUGCUUAAGGAUGAAUCGCGCAAGAUAAAUCUGAUGUAUGAAUUCUUCAAUAUCCUUUUUCAAGUCUCGAUAUUCAUUUGUGUCAUGGACGUAAUUCAGAUAGAACCGAUAAUAUUUAGAUCCGUCUUUUUUUGCCAAUGAAGUAUUCAUCGAGUGAGAGUCUUUUAAGAGUCUCUUUCCUUUUAUCGGUAGAAAAAAACUUUAAUUCUAAGCAUAUUCAAGGGGGUUAGCUCAGACCUUGGGCGAGGUAACUCAAGUCGUUCGUUCUUCCUCUAUUGUGAUGACCUCGGGGUCGGGGUGGACUAUAGUUGCUCUUACUUCGACCUCUUGUGCGGCUGACUCUUUACGCUUACCAGAUAUUAUUAUCCUGAUGGUAAUAUAUUGAUUGACUCUUUGAAGUGCCUGUAGUAUUGUCGCCGAUGACCUCUCCACUAACGACGAGAAGAGAUGAGAGGACUUGAGACUCAUCAUGAAGGUUUGUAUCAAGAGUGACGAACGGAUAUACCACGCUUUGGAUUUUAUUAAUGAAACUAAGUGAUGAAGUUUGUAAGAAUUUCCUUCAAUUGCAUGAAUACGAGAAGCAUUGACAUUGCUAGCCUCGGGUGCACAUUCCCGAUGAAGUGAAAUUCAAACUUCCUCGUGAACUAGGUAAUGAAACUGAUGGAGAGUGGCUUCAGAUAUAAGUAUCAUUCUCGUGUUAGGUCUCUUAAUAUAGUCGAGAAUGUGUGACACAUCAAGGCAUCCGAAGUGUCAUACAAUAAUAUUUAGGCAUGGAAAGUUAUAAUGUGCUCCAUUGGGUUAGCAUUGCCAUCGAAUGCCUCCAACGACGGUGGUGGAAGAUUGUUAGAAUCGAUUCUUCCUAAAUUUUCUAGAUAAAUGAUGACCGACUCGAGGUGGAGUUAACCAAUGCUUCCCUUUUGGAUUAUUAAAAUUUUUAUCAUAUCUCCUUCAAACGAUGAUCCAUCUAUCAUAGUUGGAUUUGCAAGGAAUCCUUCAUCAAAUUCGUCGAUCUAGUCUCUGAUUUAAGCAUGAUAGAAUCGUGAUAUGGAAUGCUAAAUUUCAUGAUUAUGGAGCGAAGUGCUCUCUCGGCCAUGAUUCGAUAGGUUUUGGGUACUUUUAGGAUGUAACACUAUGUUGGAUGGGGGAAAGUUGAUGGGUGCUAGUGGUGGGUGAGCCAGUGACAACAACUGAGUUAGUGGCGUUGUCUAUUAAGCUAACUAGGGUAAAUGUUAGAGAUUUUAAUAUAUAAAAGAAGUUUUAUAUUUUAAUAUAUAGAAUAUGCAUACUUGCAAGGCAUCUUAUGUUUGUCAAUUGUUGUCACCCCUUUUUUCUUAUUUAAGAUCCCUUCUGAUUUUUUUAAUCAUAAUUAUAUUUUUACUGUUUUUUAAUAUUUAAUUCCUUCCAUCGAAAGAAAUGAACUUGAAUAACGAGAUGAUAUAAUAAAAGACACAAUAUCAACAAAAAUUUCUCAAGACCUACAUAAAGAAAAAACAAUUCUUUGUAAAAAGAGAAAAAGCUAUAUUAAUUAGCAAAAACUAAAAAAAAACGAAGAGCCGUUAGUAGCCUCCGAGGAAGAACAAAAAGUGGGUCAGCCUAUAAAAGUUGGCGUUGCCAUGGGGCUAAGGAGUUACAAAACCUAUCAACAACCAAUCCAAACAAACCAUGCAAAUCAACAACUAUACAAAGAUGAAUGAUGAUCUUAUUAAAUAUUAAACUUAAUAUUUAUGAAGCAAAAUGAAUGUGCUUGUCACAAUAAAAUCAUAAGAGUUCACGAGUGCUUAAGUUUUUUUUACGGCUAGAAUAAUGGAAUAGAUAAAACUUUGGUCGAGCUUACGAACAUAAAAAACGAAAAAAAAAUUAAAAUUUUGGUUAUGUAAAAGCUCAAUAAGAGUUCAAAAUUGGUUAAACUAAUCAGUGUUGCCCAUUUGUGACUGACAUCCACACGAGAUAGCCGAUUAGUUAUUUUUUAUUACUGGAAUAACGUGCAUCUCGACACUGCACAUUGACAAAGCCGAGCGCAUACCUUCCAUUGUCAAAAUCAACUAUGCUAAUGAUCAUGUUAGUGCGAUGGGUUCACUCUGUCAUUUGCCUACGCAUACAAUAUAUACUUUAGAAAACACAGAUAUAUUGAAAUUGCAUAGUUCGUCGUGAUCCUUUCUAAUCCCACACCAUGGGCCUUUAGCGGAUGAUGAGAUGGGACAUACUUCGGUAUCUCAGUAAAGUCAGAGCUCAUUCCUUAAAGGUUUUAUUAUAUUAAUUAUUGAGAGAUUAUAGAUUUUCUUUUAUUUUUUUUUGUUUUUAAUACAUCGCUCGUAGUAGUCUUAUGAAAGAUAAAAAGAGAAGAGAAUACGACUACAGUAGUAGCGACAACUAUAGCUUCAUCGCUACCACUAUGGUGAUUGUUGUAGCUUGUUGUGAUUGUAGCAUUAUCGUUGCUUAGGGCAACUACAACAAUGUCGUUGCGGCAUUUGUUGGCCAUGGCUGUUGAUAAGUCGCAUGCGAAGAGCUAUGCAACCACGAGCGAUGCAGGCGACGAAUGACCAGUGCACCAUCAACAAGACCUGCAAGUGUGGGCGUAGUGGGAUGCGACGACGACAACAACAUGAGAAUUUGAUUUUUUUUAAAGCACAUUUUUGUACCUCGAAUGCAUCUUGAUAUAAGAAAAUCAUAUCUCCUAAGGGCUCUUCACUGAUUUAAUCACCCGAGGAGAAGCACAAGUAAAAUUCUCCUACAUCAUUAGAAUCCAUGAAGUGAUAUAUAACACGAAUUACGAUCAGACCUAAACAAAAGAGGAAUCUCUCGAGCGACAUAACAAAAAUGAAUCCCAUAUUUGCUCUUUACAAUCAAUCUUUUGGCAUUCACUAAAAGUUAGACUAAUUUAGUUGAUAAAAAUCUUCGUUGUAUUUUUUAAAUAUUAUUAUAAAAAUGAAUCCCAUAUUUGCUCUUUACAAUCAAUCUUUUGGCAUUCACUAAAAGUUAGACUAAUUUAGUUGAUAAAAAUUUUCGUUGUAUUUUCUAAAUAUUAUUAUCAGUGUUGUCCCUCUUGAGAUAAAAAAAAGAAAUCGGUGUGCAAAAAGUGGUGGUCUGGUCAGUGUUAGCCCGAUAGGUACGGCGGGUGUGGCGUGCACCGGCCUGUUAUCCUUCCACCGUCAAGAGCGGGAGGUUAUCGCUGCUCUGUGAAACCAGCCUGACGCGGUGUCCUCCGCUUUAGGAUCCCAGAUAGCUCGGGCCUUCGUUCGAGCCACAUAGCUCAGCUGCCUGACUUGGAACGGGCAAGCCAAGUCUAGCACGACCGCACCCAACCUAUUCGGGCUGAACACAACAUUCCACCACCUUAUUGCCCCCACUAGGGUUACAAGCCGGCGUUACCGGGCUCGGCGAUCGAGGCGCUUCCACAACUUCAUAUAGCCUGUCAGUGAAUCCUAAAAAUUGGCGAUGUGGGACUAAAAACGCUCCCUCCUUUUUCCUUUCCGAACAUUCGUGCACCGCAUGCUUUCCAGGAGAAACCCGAAUUGCAUCUAAAGUUUCGAUCAUGGUUCCCCACCACCUAAAACCAUUCCAUCCCCUUCGAACAGACCAACAGAAGAUGCCCUGCAGACCCCUCCAGAUUACCCGACUCCUAAUCUUGAAACCUCGAAACCCAAUGCUCUCCUGCAUCGGGGAUUCAACAUGUUUCGAGCUAAAUUUCUCCUACAUCAGCUGACCGCAAUGCUGUAACUUUGGUGAUGAUGAAGAGGUGUAAGCUGAUAAAUGCUAUAACAAUGCCCGAAUACGUUGUCGGCCUCGUUGCAGAAGAGGAUCGACUUUUAGAUUGUGAAUCUGUGUCUUUGAACAUAGAUGCGCUAGCAUGUAUAUAAACCAUUACUUCUUAAUUCGAUGACAUUAAUAAAUAUAAUUGAUACGUCAUAUUUUGGCCUCGAAGACAUAUCAGGUCAGAAUCCAUACUAAGGCACUGCUUGACACGUCACAUCUUGGGAACCACAAGACACGCCAAGUCAGAAUCCAUACUAAGGCACUGCUCGGCAUGUCACGCCUCAGGAACCCCGAGACGGCGCCGCCCCCAAGACACGCCAAGUCAGAAUCUGUACUAAGGCACUGCUCGGCACGUCUACCAUGCCAAACCUCGUACGACUGACCCACGUACAAUAAUAUAAAGACCUCUGGCCGGCAUCUGGCUAGGAGGGGAAAAAAGGUGGUAAAAUCAAUUGAUCACUCUACUGACUUGUUCGUCAGAGGGUUCUCGUCGGGAAUCACCCAACGAGGGCCAUUUUUGAAGGAAAAUGCAGCCACCUCACGAAGACGAGCUACCAACCACCCGAGAAUCCCCAUCCAGUGCACGAAGGAGAGCAGCCAAUCGGUCCAUAUCCUAAACAAUGCCAACCAGUACUCCUUCUCGAGGGCUUGACCACCUCACGAAGAUGAGCUGCCAACCACCUCAGAAAAAGAGAGACGUAGCUCGACAUACACGACGCUCGGAUCGGCACACCAAGGAACACUGAUCAACACCCCAUUGCAAGGGCCCGAUAGACCUCGAUAUCCAACUCAACCGAUAGAAGACUCCCGACAUCGACCCGUAGACCAGGCUGUGCUAACUCACAAGCCACAGCACAUUUGUUUACUAACAUUUUGACGCUAGAAGGAGGGCAUGUCGCAAGAGCAACAGAUAGGGGUCCUCCCCGAGGGAGAACCACCGACCGACCUCCCUUUUGUUAAACCAAAAAGUCAGGCCUUCCCCACCCCCGGAGACAGGAGGAUCCCGGCUUCGAUGCUAGAUCGCUACUGUCGUCUGUUCAACGACCCGGGAUUGUCACCCCCGAGGCUCACCAUAGGGCCCUCGGUCGUGACACCCGAGGCAUUCCUUAGCCUAACCAAGCAAGUACAGGCCAUGGCGGGCAUGAUGUAGACGCUCGCUCCAAUCAUUCCUCAGAUCGUGCGGCUAGCGACGCCCCCGACCGACCCGUCCCAACAGCGACCGAACAGGGAGCAGGUCGGGACUGGAGAAGCCCAAGAGCAAGCAACGGACUCGAGAGGUCCGCCCGAGUAGAGCAUACUCGCACCCUGCCGAAUCACACCGCUCCACUCCGAGCCCGACACCAUAUCGUCCGACUCGGUGGAUGACUCGUUCAGGAUCCAGUUGUCUCGGAUCAACCAACGCUUGGAUGAGUUCCAGCGCGAGUUCCAGAAAUCGCGAUGCAAGUCGAAUGAAGGCGGCUCGGGCGAAUCGCCUUUCACUCAGGAAAUACAUGACAAGCCUGUACCACUCGACUUUAGGUUGCCCACAUUAGAGAUGUACGACGGCGGCUCUGACCCCGCAGAGCAUGUCGUCAUGUUUCGGGCUCAGCUAUGGCACCUCCAAUGCAUUGAUGUGUCGGGAAUUCCCGACCACCUUCAGGGGCCAGCACGAGCGUGAUUCAACCGGCUGCGCCAGUCCUCAGUCUCAUCCUUCGACCAGCUCACAAGGGAGUUCGAGCAAAACUUCCUCACCAACGUGCAACCCAAGCCUUCUAUCGCUACACUGCUGGCGUUAUCUCAACACGAGGAUGAGUCGCUCUCUCAGUUCGUGGCACAUUUAGCCACCGAGAUCUAUGAAUUUUCGGACGCUCAUCUCUCUCUAAUAAUGCAGGUGUUUCUGAUGGGCUUGAAACCUUCAAGGUUCUUUUGGUCACUAAUCGAGAAGCCUCCAGUAACCAUCCCCGAGAUGCUCCAAUGCGUCAACCAGUACAUCGCCGCCAAAGCUCUGGUGGUGGGAAAGUGCAUGGACAGCAAGAGGCCAAGGGCGAAACAAUCCCGGGGAACGACUUCCGUAGCCCCAGUGCAACCCCGCUAGAGGCUUGACUGACAAGAGCUACUGCUCCUGAGGCCCCCGCCUCUCCCUCUGAGCAUGUUCCACCAGGACUAUGACCACGGCACGGAAGAUUGCUGUGACCUCCAGAAUCAAAUCGAGGACUUGAUCCGAAAAGGUUAUCUCAAGUGCUAUGUCAAGGAAACCCGAGAAGCAACUCCAUGUCCUAGGGGACCCUUCGAAAGACGCCUCAUCAUCCAAAAUAUCAUGUCGAAAAGCCACUCGCGACAAGAGGUCCACAAGCUCGCCAGAUCGGUUCCCGACCUGCGACUCGCCGACCCAUCUCUUGCCUGAGCCGCUCUAGAUCGGUUCCCGACCUGUGCCUUGCCGGCCCAGCUUUUGCCCAAGUUGCUCCAGAUCAGUUCUCGACCUGCAGCUCGCCAGCCCAGCUCUUGCCCGAGUUGCUCUAUAUCGAUUCCCGACCCGCGGCUCGCCGGCCGAGCAUUUGUCCGAGCCGCUCCAGAUUGGUUCCCGACCUAUGGCUCACCGGCCCAGCUCUCAUUCGAGUCGCCCCAAAUCGGUUCCCGACCUGCAGCUCGCCGGCCCAGCUCUUGCCCGAGCCGCUCCAGAUCGGUUCCCGUCCUGCGGCCCGUUGGCCCAGCUCUUACCCAAGUCGCUCAAGAUUAGUUCUCGACCUCAGGCUCGCCGGCCUAGCUCUUGCCUGAGCCGCUCUAGAUCGAUUCUCGACCUGCGGCUCGCCGGCCUAGCUCUUGCCCAAGCGGCUCCAGAUCGGUUCUCGACCUGUGCCUCGCGGGCUCAGCUUUUGCCCGAGUCACUCCAGAUCGGUUCCCGACCUACGGCUCGUCGGCCCAACUCUCACCCGAGUAGCUCCAGAUCGGUUCUCGACUUGUGGCUCGCCAGCCCAACUCUUGCCCGAGCCACUCCAGAUCGGUUUCCGACCUGCGGCUCGUCGGCCCAACUCUUGCCCGAGUUGCUCUAGAUCGAUUCCCGACUUGCGGCUCUCUAGCCCAGCUCUUGCCCGAGCCAUCCAGAUCGAUUCCUGACCUGCGGGUAGCCAGCCCAGCUCUUGCCCAAGCGCUCUAGAUAAGUUCCUGACCUGUGCCUCGCUGGCCCAGUUCCUGCCCGGGUUGUUCCAGUUUGCUCCUGACUUUCGAUUCGGAGUCGAGCUUACUCACUUGGUCCCCAGAUUCAAUUCGGAGCCGAGCUUACUCACUCGGUCCCCAUAUCCGAUUCGGAGCCAAGCUUACUCACUCGGUCCCUAGGUUCAAUUCGGAGCCGAGUUUACUCACUCGGUCCCUAUGUUCAAUUCGGGGAGCCGAGCUUACUCACUUGGUCCCCAGAUUCAAUUCGGAGCCGAGCUUACUCACUCGGUCCCCAUAUUCGAUUCAAAUUCGAGCUUACUCACUUAGUCCCUAGGUUCAAUUUGGAGCCGAGCUUAGUCACUCGGUCCCUAGAUCCGAUUUAGAGCCGAGCUUACUCACUCGGUCUCCAGAUUCGAUUCGGAGUCGAGCUUACUCACUCGGUCCCCAGAUCCGAUUCAGAGCCGAGCUUACUCACUCAGUCCCCAGGUUCAAUUCGGAGCAGAGCUUAGUCACUCGGUCCCCAAGUUCAAUUCAGAGCUGAGCUUAUUCACUUGAUCCCCAGGUUCAAAUCGGAGAUAAGCUUAUUCACUCGGUCCCUAGGUUUGAUUCGGAGUCGAGCUUACUCACUCGGUCCCCAGGCUUAAUUCGGAGCCGGGCUUACUCACUCGGUCACCAGGUUCAGUUUGGAGCCGAGCUUAGUCACUCAAUCCCCAGGUUCAAUUCAGAGUCGAACUUAUUCACUCGAUCCCCAGGUUCAAAUCAGAGAUGAGCUUAGUCACUCAGUCCUCAGGUUCAUUUCUUGCUCGGGUCGCUCCAGAUCGCUCCCGACUUGCUACCCAUCGACACCGAAACCCGAGCCCGAGCUCGGUCACUCGACCCAUAGGCCCAAUCCAGUGUCCGAGCCACGCAUCUCAGCCAAUCCAACGCCCGAGUCGCAUCUCGGCCAAAUCCAAUGCCCGAGUCGCAUCUCGGCCAAAUCCAGCAUCCGAGCCACGCACCUCGGCCAUCCAACACCCGAGCCACGCAACUCGGCCAAUCUAACGCCCGAGUCGCAUCUUGGCCAAAUCCAAUGCCCGAGUCACAUCUCGGCCAAAUCCAACGUCCAAGCCACACACCUCGGCCAUCCAAAGCUCGAGCCACGCAUCUCGGCCAAUCCAAUGCCCAAGUCGUAUCUCGGCCAAUCCAAUACCCAAGUCGCAUCUCGACCAAAUCCAACGUCCAAGCCAUGCACAUUGCCCAUCCAAUGCCCGAGCCACGCAUCUCGACCGAUCCAACACCCGAGUAGCAUCUUGGCCGGUCCAAACGCCCGAACCACACAUCUUGGCCGAUCCAAUGCCCGAGCCAUACCUUGCGGCCAAUCUUAUGCCCGAGUCACAUCUCGAUCGAUCCAACGCCCGAAUCACCGGCCUAGUCUGUUAAUCCAAGUCGCUCCACGUCAACCCCUGACUAGCUACCCGUCAAGUCUCUAAACCGAGCCACCCCGGCUCGCUCGCCAACUUGCAAACUCGGCAGUUGUAACACCAAGUCGUGCCAAACCCGUUAUCUAACCUACGACACGUCGGUGUCGCCUCGUCGGUUUCGCCACGUCGGUUUCGACACGUUGGUUUUGCCUCGUCAGGCCCCUGCCUCCUGAUCAGUAGAGUCGAUCUUGCACGAAGCAUGGGGCGCUACCCUUCUAAAUCGCCCCAUGACGAGUUAAUCCAACUUCCCCUCAUGAACGAUCAGCCUCACUUCGAAGUAUCAUAUAAUAAUAUUUGGGCAUGGAAAGUUAUAAUGUCCUCCAUUGGGUUAGCAUUGCCAUCGAAUGCCUCCAACGACGAUGGUGGAAGAUUGUUAGAAUCGAUUCUUCCUGAAUUUUCUAGGUGAAUGAUGAUCGACUCGAGGUGGAGUCAACCAACGCUUCCUUUUUGGAUUAUUAAAUUUUUUAUCAUAUCUCCUCUAAAUGUCGGUCCAUCUAUGAUAGUUGGAUUCGCAAGGAAUCCUUCAUCAAUUUCGUCAACCUAGCCUCUGAUUUAAGCAUGAUAGAGUCAUGAUGUGGUAUGUUAAAUUUAUGGUGAUGGAGCGAAGUACUCUCUUGACCAUGAUUGGAUAGGUUUCGGGUACUCUUAGGAUGUCAACAUUAUGUUGGGUGGGGGAACAUUGAUUGGUGGGUGAGCUAUUGGGCUAACUAGCGUAAAUGUUAGAGAUUUUAAUAUAUAGAAUAUGCAUACUUGCAAGGCAUCUCAUGUAUGUCAAUUGUUGCAACCCCUUUUUUUUCUUAUUUAAGAUCCCUUCUGUUUUUUGAAUCAUAAUUAUAUUUUAACUGUUUUUUAAUAUUUAAUUCCUUCCAUCGAAAGAAAUGAACUUGAAUAACGAGAUGAUAUAAUAAAAGACACAAUAUCAACAAAAAUUUCUCAAGACCUACGUAAAGAAAAAAAAAUUCUUUGUAAAAAGAGAAAAAGCUAUAUUAAUUAGCAAAAACUAAAAAAAACGAAGAGCCGUUAGUAGCCUCCGAGGAAGAACAAAAAGUGGGUCAGCCUAUNNNNNNNNNNNNNNNNNNNNUCAACUAUGCUAAUGAUCAUGUUAGUGCGAUGGGUUCACUCUGUCAUUUGCCUACGCAUACAAUAUAUACUUUAGAAAACACAUAUAUAUUGAAAUUGUAUAGUUCGUCGUGAUUCUUUCUAAUCCCACACCAUGUGCCUUUACCGGAUGAUGAGAUGGGACAUUCCUUGGUAUCGCAGUAAAGUCAGAGGUCAUUCGUUAGAGGAUUUAUUAUAUUAAUUAUUGAGAGAUUAUAGAUUUUUUUUUAUCUUUAUUUUUUAUUUUUAAUUCAUUACUCAUAAUAAUCUUAUUAAAGAUAAAAAGAGAAGAGAAUGGGACUACAGUAGUGUUGUUGUGGGCGACAACUAUAGCAACAUCGAUACCACUAGGGUGAUUGUUGUAGCUUGUUGCGAUCGUAGCAUUACCGUUGCUUAGGGCAACUACAGCAAUGUCAUUGCGGUAUUUGUUGGCCACGGUCGAUGUCAACUAGACGUAAAAGACCAUGAUACUCAGCGGUUGCAUGACAAACUCGUAAGUAUUAGUGGGUGCCACAAUGACUAUGUGGUUGCUAGUUGAUACAAAAUCACGUAUGGCUGCGAUGACGAUGAGGUCGUUGAUUAGUCACAUGCGAAGAGCUAUGCACCGGUAACGAAUGACUAGUGCUCCAAGUGUGGGCAUAGUGGGAUGCGAUGACAACAUGAGAAUUUUUUUUUUUUUUAAGUAUAUUUUUAUCUUGAUAUAAGAAAAUUAUAUCUCCUAAGGGCUCUUCACUGAUUUAAUCACCUGAGGAGAAGCGCAAGUAAAAUUCUCCAGCAUCAUUAGAAUCCAUGAAGUAAUAACGAAUUACGGUCAGACCUAAACAAAAGAGGAAUCUCUGUGGCGUGCACCGGUGUGCAAAAAGUGGUGGUCUGGUCAGUGUUAGCCCGAUAGGUACGGCGGGUGUGGCGUGCACCGGCCUGUUAUCCUUCCACCGUCAAGAGCGGGAGGUUAUCGCUGCUCUGUGAAACCAGCCUGACGCGGUGUCCUCCGCUUUAGGAUCCCAGAUGGCUCGGGCCUUCGUUCGGGCCACAUAGCUCAGCUGCCUGACUUGGAACGGGCAAGCCAAGUCUAGCACGACCGCACCCAACCUAUUCGGGCUGAACACAACAUCCCACCACCUUAUUGCCCCCACUCGGGUUACAAGCCGGCGUUACCGGGCUCGGCG